rnacentral:rRNA from 1 species
GAUGAACGCUGGCGGCGUGCCUAAUACAUGCAAGUCGAGCGAACGGACGAGAAGCUUGCUUCUCUGAUGUUAGCGGCGGACGGGUGAGUAACACGUGGAUAACCUACCUAUAAGACUGGGAUAACUUCGGGAAACCGUAGCUAAUACCGGAUAAUAUUUUGAACCGCAUGGUUCAAAAGUGAAAGACGGUCUUGCUGUCACUUAUAGAUGGAUCCGCGCUGCAUUAGCUAGUUGGUAAGGUAACGGCUUACCAAGGCAACGAUGCAUAGCCGACCUGAGAGGGUGAUCGGCCACACUGGAACUGAGACACGGUCCAGACUCCUACGGGAGGCAGCAGUAGGGAAUCUUCCGAAAUGGGCGAAAGCCUGACGGAGCAACGCCGCGUGAGUGAUGAAGGUCUUCGGAUCGUAAAACUCUGUUAUUAGGGAAGAACAUAUGUGUAAGUAACUGUGCACAUCUUGACGGUACCUAAUCAGAAAGCCACGGCUAACUACGUG